ensembl:lncRNA
UGUACCCCCUGAGGGUGCUGUGGUGGGUGGGCGUUGGGGUGGGGGUCCCGGGUGGUUGGUGGGAGCCUGGCUGGGGGGGCAGCACCGUUCCACACUGCUUGUGCCUGUCCGUCUGUCCCUCCCUGCGCUUUUCUCCAUCUGCUCGCCCUUCCUGCCACCCGUCUGUCCCCUCCCAGGCACUCGCCUGUCUACUCAUCUGUCGUCCCUCCCUGCCCCCAACUCUUCCUACGUCUGUCCAUUCACCUGUCCUUCCAUUUGUCUGUCCAUCCAUCCACCGCCCACCACUUCACUCUACCCAACCACCUCUCCCUCUGUUUCUUCCUCCAUCCACCCCUUUGUCCAUCCAUCCACCCCCCUUUCACUUCUCACUAUCCAUUUGUUCAUCCAUCCGUACACUCAUCUCUCCCUUCAUGCUCCCGUUUGUCUACUCAUCUGUCUACUCAUCCACCCACCCAUCUACUCAUCCACCCAUCUGUCCACUCAUCCAUUUACUUUUCCAUCAAUCUGCCUAUUCAUCUGUCUACUCAUCCAUCUGCCCAUCCAUCCUUCCAUCAUCCAUCCUCCUGCCACUUCUCUCCAUCCAUCCAUAUCUCUACCAUCUAACCAUCUAACCACCCCCUCGUCCACCUACCCAUCCAUCCAUCAACCCAUCCAUCCACCCAUCCAUCCACCCAUGGGCUCAUCCAUCCAUCUGUCCAUGGAUCAUAGAAUCAUUUAGGUUGGAAAAGAUCUUUAAGAUCAUUGAGUCCAAACAAAUGGAUGUACUCAUCCGUCCAUCCAUCCAUGUAUUCAUGCAUCCACCCACCCACCCAUGGACUCACCUGUCUGUCCAUCCAUCAGCCCAUCCAUCCAUGGAUACACUCAUUCAUCCUUCCAUGGACUCAUCCACCCAUCUGUCCAUGGAUGUACGCAUCCAUCCAUCCAUGUAUGUAUUCAUGAAUCCAUCCACCCACUCAUCCAUGUACUCAUCUGUCCAUCCACCCAUCCAUCUAUCGACCCCCCCAUCAAUCAUCUCAUCCCCCCUCACCCUGCCUGCCCACCCCACGGGUGUCCCCACAGACAACGAGGUGCGCAAGGUGGACCUGGUCUCGGCUUCAGUGGUGGUGGUGGGCGUCAUCGCUGCCGUCCUGCUCUGCGUCCUUGUCAUUGUUGUCGUCGUCAUGACCCUCUAUCACAAGCGCAAGACCAAGCGUAUCUCCGAGAAGUACGAGGAGGAGCUGACGCUCACCCGGGAGAACUCCAUCCGCCGCCUGCACUCCAGCCACAGCACCGACACGCGCACACAGGUGGUGGGGGGCUUGGGUGGUGGGGUGCCCAAGGGAGGGGGUCUUGGGGUGCCCGGGGUGCUGGGGUGCCUGGGGUGAUAGGUGGUGGGAUGCCCAAGACAGUAGGACUUGGGGUAGUCUGGGUGAUGGGUAUUGGGGUGCCAUGGGUGUUGGGUGGUGGGGUGCCCGAGGAAGCGGGUCUUGGAGUACCCUAGGUGAUGAGGGUGUCUGGGGUGAUGGAUGUUGGGGUGCCCAAGGCAGUUGGUCUUGGAGUACUCUGGGUGAUGGAUGUUGGGGUGACUGGGCUCAUGGAUGCUGGGAUGCCCAAAGUGAUGGGUGUUGGGGUACCCAUGGUGAUGGGUAUCGAGGUACCUGGGGUGCUGGGUAUGGGGGUGUUGAAGGAGGACCAGGAAGCAGGGUGCCCAUGGGUCUGGGCAGUGGGGUGCUUGGGAGGAGGUGGGUAUCGGGGUGCCCAGGAGGAGCCAGGCCGUGGUGGCAGAGGAUGCGGGGUGGGGAUGCCCAGGAUGCUGGCAGGGCCAUGGGGGGCUCAGGAGCUGGGCUGCGGGGUGCUG